rnacentral:rRNA from 1 species
AUUGAACGCUGGCGGCAGGCCUAACACAUGCAAGUCGAACGAGUGGCGGACGGGUGAGUAAUGUCUGGGAACCUGCCCGAUGGAGGGGGAUAACUACUGGAAACGGUAGCUAAUACCGCAUACCAUCGGAUCGGCCCAGAUGGGAUUAGCUAGUCGGUGGGGUAACGGCUCACCUAGGCGACGAUCCCUAGCUGGUCUGAGAGGAUGACCAGCCACACUGGGACUGAGACACGGCCCAGACUCCUACGGGAGGCAGCAGUGGGGAAUAUUGCACAAUGGGCGCAAGCCUGAUGCAGCAAUGCCGCGUGUAUGAAGAAGGCUUUCGGGUUGUAAAGUACUGUCAGCGGGGAGGCGUUACUCGCAGAAGAAGCACCGGCUAACUCCGUGCCAGCCGCCGCGGUAAUAC